AUUGAACGCUGGCGGCAGGCUUAACACAUGCAAGUCGAGCGGGGAAAAGUAGCUUGCUACUGGACCUAGCGGCGGACGGGUGAGUAAUGCUUAGGAAUCUGCCUAUUAGUGGGGGACAACAUCUCGAAAGGGAUGCUAAUACCGCAUACGUCCUACGGGAGAAAGCAGGGGACCUUCGGGCCUUGCGCUAAUAGAUGAGCCUAAGUCGGAUUAGCUAGUGGGUGGGGUAAAGGCCUACCAAGGCGACGAUCUGUAGCGGGUCUGGGAGGAUGAUCCGCCACACUGGGACUGAGACACGGCCCAGACUCCUACGGGAGGCAGCAGUGGGGAAUAUUGGACAAUGGGGGGAACCCUGAUCCAGCCAUGCCGCGUGUGUGAAGAAGGCCUUUUGGUUGUAAAGCACUUUAAGCGAGGAGGAGGCUACCGAGAUUAAUACUCUUGGAUAGUGGACGUUACUCGCAGAAUAAGCACCGGCUAACUUCGUGCCAGCCGCCGCAGUAAUAC
rnacentral:rRNA from 1 species